ACCGGCGCACGGGUGAGUAACGCGUAUGCAACUUACCUAUCAGAGGGGGAGUAACCCGGCGAAAGUCGGACUAAUACCGCAUGAAGCAGGGGCCCCGCAUGGGGAUAUUUGCUAAAGAUUCAUCGCUGAUAGAUAGGCAUGCGUUCCAUUAGGCAGUUGGCGGGGUAACGGCCCACCAAACCGACGAUGGAUAGGGGUUCUGAGAGGAAGGUCCCCCACAUAGGUACUGAGACACGGACCAAACUCCUACGGGAGGCAGCAUG
rnacentral:rRNA from 1 species